CGCGUAGGUGGUUCGUUAAGUUGGAUGUGAAAUCCCCGAGCUCAACUUGGGAACUGCGUUUGAAACUGCAAGACUAGAAUAUGUCAGAGGGGGGUAGAAUUCCACGUGUAGCAGUGAAAUGCGUAGAGAUGUGGAGGAAUACCAAUGGCGAAGGCAGCCCCCUGGGAUAAUAUUGACGCUCAUGCACGAAAGCGUGGGGAGCAAACAGGAUUAGAUACCCGAGUA
rnacentral:rRNA from 1 species